GAGUUUGAUCAUGGCUCAGAUUGAACGCUGGCGGCAGGCCUAACACAUGCAAGUCGAACGGAAACAUGUCUAGCUUGCUAGAUGAUGUCGAGUGGCGGACGGGUGAGUAAUGCUUGGGAACUUGCCUUUGCGAGGGGGAUAACAGUUGGAAACGACUGCUAAUACCGCAUAAUGUCUUCGGACCAAACGGGGCUUAGGCUCCGGCGCAAAGAGAGGCCCAAGUGAGAUUAGCUAGUUGGUGAGGUAAAGGCUCACCAAGGCAACGAUCUCUAGCUGUUCUGAGAGGAAGAUCAGCCACACUGGGACUGAGACACGGCCCAGACUCCUACGGGAGGCAGCAGUGGGGAAUAUUGCACAAUGGGGGAAACCCUGAUGCAGCCAUGCCGCGUGUGUGAAGAAGGCCUUCGGGUUGUAAAGCACUUUCAGUUGUGAGGAAAAGUUAGUAGUUAAUACCUGCUAGCCGUGACGUUAACAACAGAAGAAGCACCGGCUAACUCCG
rnacentral:rRNA from 1 species